GACGUCCUUCAUCCAGUCUGGAUUCACUCAAGGUACUGUGUAAUACUGCAGUACAUUUGAUUUCUUUAAUGAGCAAAUGUGAAUUGUGUUGUAGUACUUUAUUUGUCUACAUCAGAAUACAACAUUUGUCUCUUUGAUGUGUUUUAUCCAUAUUUUGCUGUCAUACAUCUUCACACAGAAUCAUCUGUCUGUGUAGUUCAUCAUUAUGUUAAAACACUGUUAUUGCUGCAGUUCAUGCUAUUUAUUCAAUUAAUCAGUCAUAAAAAUAAAGUGUAAUUGAAUGCACUGAAAAUACUUAAAUACAAGCAAGUACAUUUGUAGUACAUUCUUAUUUUUGUGCUAAAUAAAAUUGUAAAACUUAUACACUAUAAAGACACUACACUGUUAGACAUCUCUUUAAUUUCUACAGUUAUUAACUGUAUAUCACCCAGUAUAAUACUGCAAAUUCCCUUUGCAGUAAAUAACUGUAAUAACCAUUGCAUCAUGGGAAUUUUCUGUGACGUCAGACCCCAAACUGCAGUAUACUACUGUAUUUGCUGUAACGUUCUCAUUGGCGGCGUUCUAUUGAGGUCGUUUUAUUUCCCUCAUUUAUUAUAUUUGGAUUGACACCAUUUGCCCUACACCGUGUCUACAACGCCGCAACAGCUUGUGACGGACUACACCGGAUGUGUUGCAUUGCUUAUAAUGAUUGGAAAAUCCGUUUGUCCUUCAUGUCAGACACAGCGCCAGUGCUUGAAGUACAUCUGUAAAUCAGAAAUAUACCGGGGCAUUACUGUACUGUAAGCAUCCACUGUAGAUUGUAUAUUUAAUGUGUUCUAUAUUGUCUUCUUUUGUCGAGUCGCGCUGCGCCGCGCCACUCGUGUCCGAGGAAGACGCUGAAGCAGCGGGCAGCGUCGCGGCGUUUGCCCGGGGAUGAACCCGCGAGAGCGGAAGAGUUCCGGAGAACAUCCGCGCAGUGUGUCGAUGCAAUUUACGAGAGAUUAAGACCAGCAAGUAAGGCAACUGCAAUGAAGCAUCAAGAAAGACAUGAGCAUGCCAACCACUGAUAGUUCAUGAGAAGAAAUUUUUGUCACUAACAAAGUAGAUGGUGAGCAAAGGUGGUGGCCACGUUUUAGAGCAGACCUGGGUUUUGCAGAUGGCUGUGUAUUCUUUGGCUGCAUGUCUUUUUCUCCAUUGUUUCUGUUGCCUAUAGAUUAUUUGUGAGGAUACGACAUAAUGCACUGCAAAACAUCCUAAGACAGAGGAAAUGGUGAAGAUGCACUGUUCCAGCAGUUUAAGACUGUAUUUUUAAGUGUUAUACAUGCAUUGUUUUAAAUAAAGUAUUUGAUAUUUUGUAAUUUUUGUGUCUGUUUUAAUUGAAUGUCAGUAGUACCUAUGUAGAGUAAAAAUAAAUUACAUUUAAAUGAA